GACGAACGCUGGCGGCGUGCCUAACACAUGCAAGUCGUACGAGAAAGUUGGCUUCGGCCGAUGAGUAAAGUGGCGCACGGGUGAGUAACGCGUGGAUAAUCUGCCUUUUAGUUGGGAAUAACGUACCGAAAGGUGCGCUAAUACCGAAUAAUACUGAAUGACAUCAGUUGUGUAGUCAAAGAAGGCCUCUGUUUACAAGCUUUUGCUGAAGGAUGAGUCCGCGUACCAUUAGCUGGUUGGUGGGGUAAUGGCCUACCAAGGCUACGAUGGUUAGCUGGUCUGAGAGGAUGAUCAGCCACACUGGAACUGAGACACGGUCCAGACUCCUACGGGAGGCAGCAGUGAGGAAUAUUGCGCAAUGGGGGCAACCCUGACGCAGCAACGCCGCGUGAGUGAGGAAGGUUUUCGGACCGUAAAGCUCUGUCGAGCGGGAAGAAAUGCAUGGUGGCUAAUAUCCAUCAUGCUUGACGGUACCGCUAAAGGAAGCACC
rnacentral:rRNA from 1 species